CGCGUAGGCGGCUUGGUCAGUCCCGUGUGAAAUCCCUCGGCUCAACUGAGGAACUGCACGGGAAACUGCCUGGCUUGGGUUCGGGAGAGGGAAGCGGAAUUCCGGGUGUAGCGGUGAAAUGCGUAGAUAUCCGGAGGAACACCGGUGGCGAAGGCGGCUUCCUGGACCGACACUGACGCUGAGGCGCGAAAGCUAGGGGAGAAAACG
rnacentral:rRNA from 1 species